rnacentral:tRNA from 1 species
CGGGGUGUGGCCUAGCUGGUUUAAGGCGCACGUCUAGGGGGCGUGAGAUCCCGGGUUCGAAUCCCGGCACCCCGA